rnacentral:lncRNA from 1 species
ACAUGAUAGGGGAGCUGGAGGAACCUGUCGUCUCCGCCAUCGAGUGCCCCUCCGAGCUGGGGUUGGACGCUGCCAGUUUGCACAGCAGCAGGUUGGAUCUAUGAACACGAGACACAGAAACACCAGCUGGAGGAGCCCAGGAGGCCCAGCAGGUGAGGUUAUCCACAGAACAGGCACGCCGCCCUAGUCCAUGGAUCACUGAGUGCCCGGACCAGGGCUUCAGGGGGUUCCAGCCGAGGCUUUGUGAACCGGAUCCUGGGUCACUGAGUAACCAGAGUGGUCUCAGGAGGUUCCAGCCGAGGCUUUGUGAACCGGAUCCUGGGUCACUGAGUACCCGGACCAGGGGUUCAGGAGGUUCCGGCUGAGGCUUUGUGAACCAGAUCCUGGGUCACUGAGUACCCGGACCAGGGGUUCAGGAGGUUCCGGCCGAGGCUUUGUGAACCGGAUCCUGGGUCACUGAGUACCCAGACCAGGGGUUCAGGAGGUUCCGGCCGAGGCUUUGUGAACCGGAUCCUCCUCUUUGCAUUUCAAACAGCGGGAACCAUCGUAGUCCAUGGGCCACUGAGUGCCCGGACCAGGGCCCCGGGGCUUCCUGACAGCAGGAACAACAGGAAUCAUUCAAACCCUGGAGCCCAGAGGGCAGGACAGGAGCGGCCUUUUGUCCCCCGCGGGCAGGCCAGGGAGGUGGACAGGCCGGGAGCCUGAAGCCUGAGCAGCUGGAUGCUCGCUCAUUCUCCCGUGGUCACUGUGUUCCCGGAGCCCCAACAGGAGGCCAAUUGUCCCACGGGGCGGUGCCUG